rnacentral:rRNA from 1 species
AUUGAACGCUGGCGGCAUGCCUUACACAUGCAAGUCGAACGGUAACAGGUCUUCGGAUGCUGACGAGUGGCGAACGGGUGAGUAAUACAUCGGAACGUGCCCGAGAGUGGGGGAUAACGAGGCGAAAGCUUUGCUAAUACCGCAUACGAUCUCAGGAUGAAAGCAGGGGACCGCAAGGCCUUGCGCUCACGGAGCGGCCGAUGGCAGAUUAGGUAGUUGGUGGGAUAAAAGCUUACCAAGCCGACGAUCUGUAGCUGGUCUGAGAGGACGACAGGCCACACUGGGACUGAGACACGGCCCAGACUCCUACGGGAGGCAGCAGUGGGGAAUUUUGGACAAUGGGCGCAAGCCUGAUCCAGCCAUGCCGAGUGCAGGAUGAAGGCCUUCGGGUUGUAAACUACUUUUGUACGGAACGAAAAGACUCUGGUUAAUACCUGGGGUCCAUGACGGUACCGUAAGAAUAAGCACCGGCUAACUACGUGCCAGCCGCCGCGGUAAUAC